rnacentral:tRNA from 1 species
GCCUAGCUAGCUCAAUCGGUAGAGCGUGUGACUCUUAAAAUUCUUGAAAAGGAGUUAAAGUCAUCACAAGGUUGGGGGUUCGACCCCCCCGUUGGGCU